AUUGAACGCUGGCGGCAGGCCUAACACAUGCAAGUCGAGCGGAUGAAGGGAGCUUGCUCCUGGAUUCAGCGGCGGACGGGUGAGUAAUGCCUAGGAAUCUGCCUGGUAGUGGGGGAUAACGUCCGGAAACGGGCGCUAAUACCGCAUACGUCCUGAGGGAGAAAGUGGGGGAUCUUCGGACCUCACGCUAUCAGAUGAGCCUAGGUCGGAUUAGCUAGUUGGUGGGGUAAAGGCCUACCAAGGCGACGAUCCGUAACUGGUCUGAGAGGAUGAUCAGUCACACUGGAACUGAGACACGGUCCAGACUCCUACGGGAGGCAGCAGUGGGGAAUAUUUGACAAUGGGCGAAAGCCUGAUCCAGCCAUGCCGCGUGUGUGAAGAAGGUCUUCGGAUUGUAAAGCACUUUAAGUUGGGAGGAAGGGCAGUAAGUUAAUACCUUGCUGUUUUGACGUUACCGACAGAAUAAGCACCGGCUAACUUCGUG
rnacentral:rRNA from 1 species